AGUAUUUAUCGGCGAGCUCGUACUACUGUGCUCGCAGCAGCACUAUUCCCGAUCAUGUCAGCAGGAACUGAUAGUGUGGUGCGUUCUGGCAUUGGUUCAUGCACGAGAUGCUCCCAGUCUCUCUGAUGACCAGGGAAAUCUCACCGGUGAGGCAGUGACCAACUGUGGACUAAUAAAUCAAGGGCCCACCACUCUUUUGGAGAGCUUUAGAGCUUGUCACCAUCCUUAAUUACUAAGGAAUUGUACCUUCGAGUACACUUUGCUGUCCAACACAAAAAGAGAGGAGACAUUACUGUGCAGAACCGACUACAUAUACUGAUUGCAUGUCUGUGGCUGAUCAAGCUCGGCCAUUUCUGGGCACAGAAAACUGAUAAAUGAGAGUAGUACCAAGGAUCUCUUUAUAGAUCCGGGGAGAUACGAUGAACUGGAGCCAUGGCCAUAGGAAUCGUAUGAUCAUGAGUACAGUACUUGUCUACACCCCUAUGCAUGGCCCAGAGUCUUCCUGGCUCCCUUGUCUCUCGCUGGCAAGCACGUUUUGAGCCCCCAAGUGAGUGAAGACAUGACCAGUUUUUUUGGUUCUUUAAAAAAAAGAAGGGGAAAGACAUGAACAUGUUGAUGGCCACAUGUGGGAUGGAGGAUGUGGUACCAAAAUUUCGAGCGGAAUAUGCCACCAAAAUCAAUGGACAUCGCACAAAUAGCAAAAGAAUGACCUUUAAGGAAAAUCCAAGUGACUUAUUGAGGUCAUACCAUGUCUAUAAAACAAUAACAUCAAGUAUACAAGAAUUGGAAGGUAAAAAAAAAUGUCAACACCAGCCCCAGGCUCAUUUGGUGACAUAUCUAUAGUUGGAAUGUUAUAUGUUUUUGCUUCUUCUUUUUACAUAUUUCCAACCGAUAGGCUGAUAUAACAAAUACUCCUAUAUCAGUAGCAUGCAUCUUUCUCUCAACCACCUUGUUAGCCUCAUCAAUGGAUCUCUUUGGACCUUGCUCGCCAGCGACAGUGGACCGAGGUGCAUGCAUAUAUGUUAUGUGUGAAUUGCAA